AGAGUUUGAUCCUGGCUCAGAAUCAACGCUGGCGGCGUGCCUCAGACAUGCAAGUCGAACGGUUAAACUUUUCUUCGGGAAAGAUAUAAAGUGGCGCACGGGUGAGUAACACGUAGGUAAUGUACCUUUGGGUGGGGAAUAACUUAGGGAAACUUAAGCUAAUACCGCAUAAUGCGAUAACUUCUUCGGAAGAUUUUGUUAAAGAUUUAUCGCCUAAAGAGCAGCCUGCGGCAGAUUAGCUAGUUGGUAAGGUAACGGCUUACCAAGGCUACGAUCUGUAUCCGACCUGAGAGGGUGGUCGGACACACUGACACUGAAUAACGGGUCAGACUCCUACGGGAGGCAGCAGUCGGGAAUUUUGGGCAAUGGGCGAAAGCCUGACCCAGCAACGCCGCGUGGAGGAUGAAGUCUUUCGGGAUGUAAACUUCGUAAGAAUAGGAAGAAUAAAUGACGGUACUAUUUGUAAGGUCCGGCUAACUACGUGCCAGCAGCCGCGGUAAUACGUAGGGACCAAGCGUUGUUCGGAUUUACUGGGCGUAAAGGGCGCGUAGGCGGCGUGUCAAGUCAAUUGUGAAAUCUCCGAGCUUAACUCGGAACGGUCAAUUGAUACUGAUGUGCUAGAGUGCAGAAGGGGCAAUCGGAAUUCUUGGUGUAGCGGUGAAAUGCGUAGAUAUCAAGAGGAACACCUGAGGUGAAGACGGGUUGCUGGGCUGACACUGACGCUGAGGCGCGAAAGCUAGGGUAGCAAACGGGAUUAGAUACCCCGGUAGUCCUAGCCCUAAACGAUGAAUACUUGGUGUCUGGAGUUUUAAUUCUCCGGGUGCCGUCGCUAACGUUUUUAGUAUUCCGCCUGGGGAGUACGCACGCAAGUGUGAAACUCAAAGGAAUUGACGGGGACCCGCACAAGCGGUGGAGCAUGUGGUUUAAUUCGACGCAACGCGAAGAACCUUACCUGAACUAGAAUGCGAGGGAAGAUUACCUAAUAGUAAUCGUCGGGCAACCGACCCAAAGCAAGGUGCCGCAUGGCUGUCGUCAGCUCGUGUCGGAGAGU
rnacentral:rRNA from 1 species